rnacentral:rRNA from 1 species
CCCUUAGAUGUCCUGGGCCGCACGCGCGCUACACUGACGGAGCCAGCGAGCUUACCCCUUUGCCGAAAGGCAUGGGAAAUCUUUUGAAUCUCCGUCGUGCUGGGGAUAGAUCAUUGCAAUUAUUGAUCUUGAACGAGGAAUUCCUAGUAAGCGCAAGUCAUCAACUUGCGUUGAUUACGUCCCUGCCCUUUGUACACACCGCCCGUCGCUACUACCGAUUGAAUGGUUUAGUGAGAUCCUUGGAUCGGCCCUGUCGCGGCUGGCAACGGCCGCGUCGGCGCGUCGAGAAGACGAUCAAACUUGAUCAUUUAGAGGAAGUAAAAGUCGUAACA